UUGAUAAUGUGCCAACCUUGAUGCGAGUCAAGCGACGGAAAGCCACGGGUCUCUGGGAGAGACGGCCGGGUUGCAGUU
rnacentral:ncRNA from 1 species